rnacentral:tRNA from 1 species
UUUGAUGUGACAGAUAAGUGUAAUGGAAUUAAACCCCAUAAAUAAAAUUUUUAUUUUCAUCAAAA